rnacentral:rRNA from 1 species
GACGAACGCUGGCGGCGUGCCUAAUACAUGCAAGUCGAACGCAGUGGGGACGGGUGAGUAACACGUGGGUAACCUCCCAUCAGAGGGGAUAACCCUUGGAUACAGGUGCUAAACCGACACUGGUGGAUGGACUCGCGGGGCAUUAGCUAGUGGGUGGGGUAACGGCUCACCAAGGCCACGAGGCAUAGCCGGCCGGAGAGGUUGAUCGGCCACACUGGGACUGAGACACGGCCCAGACUCCUACGGGAGGCAGCAGUAGGGAAUCUUCGGCAAUGGGCGAAAGUCUGACCGAGCAACGCCGCGUGAGUGAAGAAGGUUUUCGGAUCGUAAAGCACUGUUGUUGGGGAAGCGGUAUCUAACCAGAAAGCCACGGCUAACUACGUGCCAGCAGCCGCGGUAAUAC